rnacentral:lncRNA from 1 species
AUCAGGUGAUGGUCAGGUGGUCGUUAAACUGCCUCUCUGAAAUAAUAGUUGGGUCACAGCUGGUGCCAGGGAAAGGUAGUCUCCCAAUAGAUAGAAACACCAGGAACGGAUGAUCAGCAGCUUCCAGAUAAGAUCUCAGGAAAUGGGCUCUUGUUCCAGAGGACUGAAUAGAUCUUCAAGUCCUUGCAUACUGUCAAGCAUUUACAUCAGGGCCCUCACUGCCUUGGAUGCACUUGGAGAAUUUUAGCUGCAACAGGAUGCAAAAAGUUCAAGCCAAGGGUACAGGGAGAAGAAAGUGAAAGUGGAAAUUAAAGGGCCCAAGUAGGAGAGAGCAGAAGAAAAAGAAACAAACAAACAAGAACAACAUAAAAACAAGCAAUCGUGCAAACAAACAAACAACCAAUGGAGCAUCACAGGUACUGGCUUACUCCUGGAAGGAGCUGCAUUUAGGUCUGAAGACCAAUGGGCUCUGUGAGUAGGAGCACUUAACCUGCCUGCAUGGCACAUCAGAAUCAUCUGGACGGAGUUCUUACACUUGUAUGUUCCUGCGCUCUGAACCACAACUAUUUAAUCAAAAUCUCGGGUUGGGGCCUGAGGAUAUUUACUCAAUUAUUUAUCAAUUCUUACUAUUAUUAUAUAUUUAUUUUUUAAAGAUAAUGGCUUUAUUCAGAUCUAAUUUACAUACCAUAUGACGUAUCCAUUUAAAGUGUGUGAUUCAAUAACUUUUAGUAUAGUCAUCAUUUCUAAAAGAAGCUAUAUCCAUUAGCAGUCAUUCACCAUUUCCCCAAAAUACCCUUUUCCCAGCCCUAGGCAACUAUUAAUCUACUUUAUAUUUCUAUAGAUUUGUUUGUUCUGGAAAUUUAAUAUAAAUAGAAUAAUAUGUAGUUUUUUGGUGACUGAGAUAGAAUAUUUAUAAAGAACCGUCAUUUCUGAGAACAUAAAACAAUUAAAAUUUGGCUCCUUGCCUGUAAUUAUUUUUUCUGCCACCCAAUUUCUAUUUACUUGGCGUAAGUAUUUAUUUCUGUUUAAUUAUAUAAAUGUUAUCUACUGACCUAAGACAUUAAAUUGCCUUUUCUAAACCUUUAUUACUUAUGUAUAAGAACCAAAUGUUAUUUUGUU